GUGGCGAACGGGUGAGUAACACGUGAGCAACCUGCCCCUGACUCUGGGAUAACAGCCGGAAACGGCUGCUAAUACCGGAUAUGCACCAUGAACGCAUGUUCUGUGGUGGGAAAGAUUUUUCGGUUGGGGAUGGGCUCGCGGCCUAUCAGCUUGUUGGUGAGGUAAUGGCUCACCAAGGCGUCGACGGGUAGCCGGCCUGAGAGGGUGACCGGCCACACUGGGACUGAGACACGGCCCAGACUCCUACGGGAGGCAGCAGUGGGGAAUAUUGCACAAUGGGCGAAAGCCUGAUGCAGCAACGCCGCGUGAGGGAUGACGGCCUUCGGGUUGUAAACCUCUUUUAGCAGGGAAGAAGCGAGAGUGACGGUACCUGCAGAAAAAGCGCCGGCUAACUACGUGCCAGCAGCCGCGGUAAUACGUAGGGCGCAAGCGUUAUCCGGAAAUUAUUGGGCGUAAAGAGCUCGUAGGCGGUUUGUCGCGUCUGCUGUGAAAACUGGAGGCUCAACCUCCAGCCUGCAGUGGGUACGGGCAGACUAGAGUGCGGUAGGGGAGAUUGGAAUUCCUGGUGUAGCGGUGGAAUGCGCAGAUAUCAGGAGGAACACCGAUGGCGAAGGCAGAUCUCUGGGCCGUAACUGACGCUGAGGAGCGAAAGGGUGGGGAGCGAACAGGCUUAGAUACCCUGGUAGUCCACCCCGUAAACGUUGGGAACUAGUUGUGGGGGCCUUUCCACGGUCUCCGUGACGCAGCUAACGCAUUAAGUUCCCCGCCUGGGGAGUACGGCCGCAAGGCUAAAACUCAAAGGAAUUGACGGGGACCCGCACAAGCGGCGGAGCAUGCGGAUUAAUUCGAUGCAACGCGAAGAACCUUACCAAGGCUUGACAUAUACGAGAACGGGCUAGAAAUAGUCAACUCUUUGGACACUCGUAUACAGGUGGUGCAUGGUUGUCGUCAGCUCGUGUCGUGAGAUGUUGGGUUAAGUCCCGCAACGAGCGCAACCCUCGUUCUCUGUUGCCAGCACGUAAUGGUGGGAACUCAGGGGAUACUGCCGGGGUCAACUCGGAGGAAGGUGGGGAUGACGUCAAAUCAUCAUGCCCCUUAUGUCUUGGGCUUCACGCAUGCUACAAUGGCCGGUACAAAGGGCUGCAAUACCGUGAGGUGGAGCGAAUCCCAAAAAGCCGGUCCCAGUUCGGAUUGAGGUCUGCAACUCGACCUC
rnacentral:rRNA from 1 species